rnacentral:lncRNA from 1 species
UGGCAACAGUUCAACUGCCUUUCACCAAACUGUGUGUCGUACUGCAAGACUGCACAGCCCAUCUGAGCGAGAUGAAGGAGGAGGAAGGGAGAGGAGAGGAGAUGGGGGGUGAGAAGAGGUGCUGCGGGGAGUUUGACAGCAGAGGCUGAGGAAACCACAUCUCAUCAGCUGCUUGGAUCCAGUGAGCUGCACUGGGACACACUUCUAGCUGUGCCCCCUUCAGAUUCCAGAAUCCAGUGAGCCAGGCCUUGGGCUGCCAGCGGAGGACGUGAAGUCAAGCCAGGGAGCCAAGGCCACUGUCAGCUCUCAGUGGUUAGAAUAACCCAGUAAAAACCUCCUGGGAACCGGGCCGUGAUCGGACCGACGCUGGCAGGGAGAACAAGUGCGAGAUGUUGGAGACAGACUGAUGAGAGAGAGAAGAAUGGGCCAGAAAAAGUCCCCGCAUCCUUUAUAGUAUUUGUCCCUUUCUGCGAUGCUUUCCAACUCCAGCUGAUGCAAACCAACGAUGAUUCAGCCAAAUGAUUAAUAAUCAACUUCUUUACCUUUUAAGGUGAACAGAUGAAGUAAAGAGCUGCAGCAGAGAGACAAAUACCUUCGAUCCACAGAUUUCAAACUGCAGGCAGAAGAGGUGGAAAUGAGACCUGAGGAGACAGAGAUCA